ensembl:lncRNA
CCCGGUGUCCCUGUGGGCCGGACCCGCCCCCCCCCCCCCCCCGGCGGUGGCCGCAGAUAUUUAUAGCCGCGGGCGGGGGAUAAUUACAGGGGGGGAGGAAGCGCCCGGGGCGUGGGCAGCGCUCGGCCCCGCGGUAACCUCUGCCCCGGCAUCCCCGGGUCCCCCCACCACCCCUGGGUCCCCCCGAGUCCUCCCAGGUCCCCAUAGGUUCCCCAAACCCCAAAGGUUCCCCCAAACCCCACAGGGUCCCCCUAGGUCUCCAUAAGUCCCCUCAAAUCCCAUAGGUUCCCCCCAGGCCCCCAUAGGACCCCUAAACCCCAUGGAUAUACCCCCCCCCCCCGGUCUCACUUGGUCCCCCCAAUUCCCUACAUCCCCUAACUUCCCUCCUCUCCCCCAUACCCCGUGGGCCCCCCGAGGGACCAUCCCUCCUCUCCCCACCCCAACCACAAAGCGAAGGUCCCCCCACCCAGGUCCCACGACCCCCAUCCCAAAUACAUCCCGAGGUGCGGGGAGGGGGCGGUCGGAGCAAGGCAGUGGGGCGCCAGGGGUGCCUAACCCUAUACGAUCCCUCCGAGAGUCCCCGCAGCCCCCCCGGCCCCACAGCCCCCCCCGGCCCGCGGCCGCCCGGAGCCCGUGGGCGCUGGCAGCAGUGCCCGGCGCACCCACACGUAAUGGGGCCGCCGCUAUUUUGGGGCCUCCGACCGCAAAAGAAACAUCCGGGGGGGGCCGCGAGGGGAAGGGGGGGGGGGGGGGGGAACGUCGGUGGUGGCCGCUGCCACCCCAAAAGCCGUGGGGCGGAGGGCAGCCCUGGUGGUGUCCCCCAGCUGGCGGCCGGCCAAGGGAGGGGGGCUUAGGGACGUGAUCCCAAUCCCAGUGUCCACUAUGGGUCGGAGGGGACACAGUGCCACUGGGGACACUGAGCUGGGGGUGGUGUAGGGACAGUGAGAGGGGGAACACUGGGGUGGAGGGGUUGGGGACGCCGGGCUGGGGGGCUCGGGGUCGGGGCAGCGCAUUCCCAGCGCCUCCAGUGCUGCGUUUGCUGUGCUCCUCAUUCCCAGUGCCCCCAGUCCCCAUUCCCAGUGCCCCCAGUGCUCCCCAUUCCCAGUGCCCCCAGUCCCCAUUCCCAGUGCCCCCAGUCCCCAUUCCCAGUGCCCCCAGUGCUCCCCAUUCCCAGUGCCCCUAGUCCCCAUUCCCAGUGCCCCCAGUCCCCAUUCCCAGUGCCCCCAGUCCCUAUUCCCAGUGCCCCCAGUGCUCCCCAUUCCCAGUGCCCCCAGUCCCCAUUCCCAGUGCCCCCAGUGCUCCCCAUUCCCAGUGCUCCCAGUCCCCAUUCUGGAUUCUCCCAUUGUCCAUUCCCAGUAUUUCCAGUUCCCGUCCCCAGCCCUCCCAGUUCCCAUUCUGGGUGCUCCCAUUCUCCAUCCCCAGUAUUCCCAGUCCCCAUUCCCAGUGCCACGUUCCCAGCACUCCCCCCUCCCAGUGCCCCCACUCCCCCCACACACAUGGAAACCAUUUGCGGAUGGUUCUCUCCCUUUGAAGGGCUGCUCAGCCCCCGGCCCCACUGCUGCGUGGUGACCGCAGGGUGUGGGGGGCCGGGGGGGGCCGGGGGUGUCCCCCACCCUGGCAUGGGGAUGGGGGUGUUUCCAUCCUGGGCUCAAUGAGCUGCAACCUCUGUCCUGCCCAGACUCGUGGUGUGGGGGCAGAGAGCCCACCUAAAGCUCACGGCAGAGGGUUUCAGAACCCCCGGACUCAUGGAAGGGGGGCUGAGAGCCCCCAGGUUGAAGUAAUGGGGUCUGAGACCCCCCCCCCCCAACUGAUGUCGUGGGGUCUGGGACCCCCCAGUUACAUGUCAUGGGGGCUGAGCCCCGCCAGAAUUGUCUCACAAGAACUGAGCCCCCCCCAACUCAUGUCACAUCCUGAGCCAGGUGAAGGAAAGGUGGGGAUGGGGGGAAGGAGGCAGUGGGAGAGAGGGUCGGAGGAGAGAGGGGAGAGGGACAAAUCGAGAGGGAGG